AUUGAACGCUGGCGGCAUGCCUUACACAUGCAAGUCGAACGGUAACGCGGGGCAACCUGGCGACGAGUGGCGAACGGGUGAGUAAUACAUCGGAACGUGCCCAGUAGUGGGGGAUAGCCCGGCGAAAGCCGGAUUAAUACCGCAUACGACCUACGGGUGAAAGCGGGGGAUCGCAAGACCUCGCGCUAUUGGAGCGGCCGAUGUCAGAUUAGCUAGUUGGUGGGGUAAAAGCCUACCAAGGCGACGAUCUGUAGCUGGUCUGAGAGGACGACCAGCCACACUGGGACUGAGACACGGCCCAGACUCCUACGGGAGGCAGCAGUGGGGAAUUUUGGACAAUGGGGGCAACCCUGAUCCAGCCAUGCCGCGUGCGGGAAGAAGGCCUCGG
rnacentral:rRNA from 1 species